GAGGCCUACCAUGGUGGUAACGGGUAACGGGGUGUUAGGGCACGACACCGGAGAGGGAGCCUGAGAAACGGCUACCACAUCCAAGGAUGGCAGCAGGCGCGCAAAUUACCCAAUCCCGACACGGGGAGGUAGUGACAAUAAAUAACAAUACGGGGUUCUUUCGGAUCUCGUAAUUGGAAUGAGUACAAUUUAAAUCUCUUAACGAGGAACAAUUGGAGGGCAAGUCUGGUGCCAGCAGCCGCGGUAAUUCCAGCUCCAAUAGCGUAUAUUAAAGUUGUUGCAGUUAAAAAGCNNGUAGUUGAAUUUCGGGGUUAGUAGGUUGGUCAUGCCUCUGGUAUGUACUGAUCUCACUGAUUCCUCCUUCCUUAUGAACCGUAAUGCCAUUAAUUUGGUGUUGCGGGGAAUUUGGACUGUUACUUUGAAAAAAUUAGAGUGUUUAAAGCAGGCUAACGCUUGAAUACAUUAGCAUGGAAUAAUGAAAUAGGACGUUCGAUCUUAUUUUGUUGGUUUCUAGGAUUGACGUAAUGAUUAAUAGGGAUAGUUGGGGGCAUUAGUAUUCAAUUGUCAGAGGUGAAAUUCUUGGAUUUAUUGAAGACUAACUACUGCGAAAGCAUUUGCCAAGGAUGUUUUCAUUAAUCAAGAACGAAAGUUAGGGGAUCGAAGACGAUCAGAUACCGUCGUAGUCUUAACCAUAAACUAUGCCGACUAGG
rnacentral:rRNA from 1 species